CCAUCGGUGGUUCAGUGGUAGAAUGCUCGCCUGCUACUCGGGCGGCCCGGGUUCGAUUCCCGGCCGAUGCA
rnacentral:tRNA from 1 species